CCUACGGGGGCUGCAGUGGGGAAUAUUGGACAAUGGGCGAAAGCCUGAUCCAGCCAUGCCGCGUGUGUGAAGAAGGCCUUCGGGUUGUAAAGCACUUUCAGUGGGGAAGAAAGCCUUGGGGCUAAUACCCUCGAGGAAGGACAUCACCCACAGAAGAAGCACCGGCUAACUCCGUGCCAGCAGCCGCGGUAAUACGGAGGGUGCGAGCGUUAAUCGGAAUUACUGGGCGUAAAGCGCGCGUAGGCGGUCUGAUAAGCCGGUUGUGAAAGCCCCGGGCUCAACCUGGGAACGGCAUCCGGAACUGUCAGGCUAGAGUGCAGGAGAGGAAGGGAGAAUUCCCGGUGUAGCGGGGAAAUGCGUAGAGAUCGGGAGGAAUACCAGUGGCGAAGGCGGUCUUCUGGACUGACACUGACGCUGAGGUGCGAAAGCGUGGGUAGCAAACAGGAUUAGAUACCCGAGUAGUC
rnacentral:rRNA from 1 species